AUUGAACGCUGGCGGCAGGCCUAACACAUGCAAGUCGAGCGAGCGGCGGACGGGUGAGUAAUGUCUGGGAAACUGCCUGUUGGAGGGGGAUAACUACUGGAAACGGUAGCUUAUACCGCAUUCCAUCAGAUGUGCCCAGAUGGGCGUUGCUAGUAGGUGGGGUGACGGCUCACCUAGGCGACGAGCCCUAGCUGGUCUGAGAGGAUGACCAGCCAACCUGGAACUGAGGGACUGUCCAAACUCCUACGGUAGGCCGCAGUGGUGAAUAUUGCAAAAUGGGAGCAAGCCUGAUACAGCCAUUCAGCGUGUGUGAAGCAGGCCUUCGGGUUGUAAAGCACUUUAAGCGGGGAGGCGUUACCCGCAGAAGAAGCACCGGCUAACUCCGUGCCAGCAGCCGCGGUAAUUC
rnacentral:rRNA from 1 species